GAUGAACGCUGGCGGCGUGCCUAAUACAUGCAAGUCGAGCGAACAGACGAGGAGCUUGCUCCUCUGACGUUAGCGGCGGACGGGUGAGUAACACGUGGAUAACCUACCUAUAAGACUGGGAUAACUUCGGGAAACCGGAGCUAAUACCGGAUAAUAUAUUGAACCGCAUGGUUCAAUAGUGAAAGACGGUUUUGCUGUCACUUAUAGAUGGAUCCGCGCCGCAUUAGCUAGUUGGUAAGGUAACGGCUUACCAAGGCAACGAUGCGUAGCCGACCUGAGAGGGUGAUCGCCCACCCUGGAACUGGAACACGGUCCAGCCUCCUACGGGAGGCACAAGUAGGGAAUCUUCCGCAAUGGGCGAAAGCCUGACGGAGCAACACCGCGUGAGUGAUGAAGGUCUUCGGAUCGUAAAACUCUGUUAUUAGGGAAGAACAAAUGUGUAAGUAACUAUGCACGUCUUGACGGUACCUAAUCAGAAAGCCACGGCUAACUACGUG
rnacentral:rRNA from 1 species